CAGUAGCCACGGUAAUACGAAGGGUGCAAGCGUUAAUCGGAAUUACUGGGCGUAAAGCGUGCGUAGGCGGUUUGUUAAGUCUGUUGUGAAAUCCCCGGGCUCAACCUGGGAAUGGCAAUGGAUACUGGCAAGCUAGAGUGUGUCAGAGGAUGGUGGAAUUCCCGGUGUAGCGGUGAAAUGCGCAGAGAUCGGGAGGAUCAUCAGUGGCGAAGGCGGCCAUCUGGGACAACACUGACGCUGAGGCACGAAAGCGUGGGGAGCAAACAGGAUUAGAUACCCCCGUAGUCCCUGUCUCUUAUAC
rnacentral:rRNA from 1 species